ACGGAUACGCCAAUUCUCGUACGAUCAUGGAAGUUAAGCAACCUCGAGUCUGGUCAGUAUCUAGAUGGGUGUCCGCUUAGGAAUACCAGUUACUGUAAG